GGAACAUUGUAAAAUCCCCCAAUAUAGUGGACAAGACCAGUUGUAUUUGGUAAAAGAAGAGAAAUAUUUAUUUCGGGGAAAACCACAUGUAUUUAUCCCCCUACAAACCAAAUCCUGGUGUCUUGGACAUAAUUAGGUCAAGACAUGAUAAUUAAUUUUGGUGCCGGACACCAAGACAAAUUUCUCAAUGCCUUUUAUAUAAGCUUAUUAAACACAAUGGAUUU